GACGAACGCUGGCGGCGUGCUUAACACAUGCAAGUCGAACGGAAAGGCCCUGCUUUUGUGGGGUGCUCGAGUGGCGAACGGGUGAGUAACACGUGAGUAACCUGCCCUUGACUUUGGGAUAACUUCAGGAAACUGGGGCUAAUACCGGAUAGGAGCUCCUGCUGCAUGGUGGGGGUUGGAAAGUUUCGGCGGUUGGGGAUGGACUCGCGGCUUAUCAGCUUGUUGGUGGGGUAGUGGCUUACCAAGGCUUUGACGGCUAGCCUGCAUGAGAGGGUGACCGGCCACCUUGGGACUGAGAUACGGACCAGACUCCUACGGGAGGCAGCAGUGGGGAAUCUUGCAGAAUGGGCGGAAGCCUGAUGCAGCAACGCCGCGUGCGGGAUGACGGUUUUCGGGUUGAAAACCGCUUUCGACUGUGACGAAGCGUGCGUGACGGUAAUGGGUAAAGAAGCCACGGCUAACUACGUG
rnacentral:rRNA from 1 species